UCGAGUGAACAGACGAGGAGCUUGCUCCUCUGACGUUAGCGGCGGACGGGUGAGUAACACGUGGAUAACCUACCUAUAAGACUGGGAUAACUUCGGGAAACCGGAGCUAAUACCGGAUAAUAUAUUGAACCGCAUGGUUCAAUAGUGAAAGACGGUUUUGCUGUCACUUAUAGAUGGAUCCGCGCCGCAUUAGCUAGUUGGUAAGGUAACGGCUUACCAAGGCAACGAUGCGUAGCCGACCUGAGAGGGUGAUCGGCCACACUGGAACUGAGACACGGUCCAGACUCCUACGGGAGGCAGCAGUAGGGAAUCUUCCGCAAUGGGCGAAAGCCUGACGGAGCAACGCCGCGUGAGUGAUGAAGGUCUUCGGAUCGUAAAACUCUGUUAUUAGGGAAGAAUAAAUGUGUAAGUAACUAUGCACGUCUUGACGGUACCUAAUCAGAAAGCCACGGCUAACUACGUGCCAGCAGCCGCGGUAAUACGUAGGUGGCAAGCGUUAUCCGGAAUUAUUGGGCGUAAAGCGCGCGUAGGCGGUUUUUUAAGUCUGAUGUGAAAGCCCACGGCUCAACCGUGGAGGGUCAUUGGAAACUGGAAAACUUGAGUGCAGAAGAGGAAAGUGGAAUUCCAUGUGUAGCGGUGAAAUGCGCAGAGAUAUGGAGGAACACCAGUGGCGAAGGCGACUUUCUGGUCUGUAACUGACGCUGAUGUGCGAAAGCGUGGGGAU
rnacentral:rRNA from 1 species